GAUGAAGAACGUAGCGAAAUGCGAUAAGUAUUGUGAAUUGCAGAAUUCAGUGGAUCAUCGAAUCUUUGAACGCAUCUUGCGCUCCUUGGUAUUCUGAGGAGCAUGCCUGUUUGAGUGUCAUUAAAUUCUCAACUACACUGACUUUGAAUUGGUGUGGCUUGGAUUUGGGGGGAAAAUUGUUGUGGGCUUUUUGUAUAGUCUGCUCCCCUGAAAUUGAUUAGCGGUACCUUUGUGGAACUGUCUACAGGUGUGAUAAUUAUCUACAUCUUAGACAUCUGCUGGAAUGCUGCUUUCUAAACCUUACUUGUAUUGACAAUCUUGACCUCAAAUCAGGUAGGACUACCCGCUGAACUUAAGCAUAUCAAUAAGCGGAGGA
rnacentral:misc_RNA from 1 species